AUAACUGCAGUGACAUAAAUGAAAUCUGACUUUCAAAAUAAUACAAAUAACACAGUUUACCACUAACCUUGUUCUUAAACCAACUCUUAAAUCAUUAAACCAUCUUACUUAAACCACAUCUCUUGAACCACCACUGAUCUCUAAGCUCUCUGAUACUAAAUCUCCUAAGGGAUAGGAUCAAAGCAGUUUUUAAAAAUAAAGGCAGUGAUACUCCACAGAUGAAAGCAGGACAGUUACAAUGAAAGUCAGCAUAUUAUAUUUUCUCAGGUGCCAAGGAGGGAUAUUAAGCAUCGUUUGUUUUUCCUUUCUGCAGCUUAAAAGGAUCAGGAUGGAUUUUUGAUAUCCAUGAAAUUUGACACAUCAGACUGAUAACAACAGCAUGGCAGAGAACAGCCAUAACAGGAAUUGGAUUCACCACAAAUCACAACUGAAGAGAAUUAAAUUUCUAUUUUGGAAAUCAAAUUCUGGCUGAGGAAGGAGUUAUCUUUUGUAGGAAUACAAACUCCAAGAUCAUGGACAAAGUAAUUUUAACUGGAGACACAGACUUUCCAAGAAGCCAAGUUAAACAUCUUAAAUCAGCAUUAAGACCCUGAAAGAUGAAGGGAUAGAGUGUACCCUCAUUAAGUCUGAUGAUGAUUCCAAAGUGGGAGGAUAAGCUGGCAUACCAGAAGGCUGUCCUGCCAUUCAGAGACAUCUGGACAAACUGUAGAGUUCGGCAGAGAGGAACCCAAUGAAAUUCAACAAGGACACUUACACACACCAGUACUAUUUAGGGCUUGACCUGCUGGACAGCAGCUCCACAAAGAGCCUUGGAGUCCUGGUGGACACUUCUGUUCCCUAGAAAGAUCACAGUGGGACACCUCCAGCCAAAGUCCUCCUGAGGCAUUGUGCCCUGAUGGGAUGCAGUUGAAUACAGAUGGCAGGGAGGUAUCUCAAGACAAUGGAGCACGGGAAAGCACCCAUCUCCCUCUAGCAAUCAGAUAAACAUGCCGGAAGAAGGGGAGACUGCCUGUUAUCUUGCUUGGGCAGGCAAGGAGACAAGACUUCACAAGG